UGGCUCUUUGCUUGUGCAACAACUUCCACCUGACAUUCCCAUUCAUUCAUACGUUAUGGCUUUUGACUGCCCAAAUAAUCUGCGGGUUUCUUGUGUUCCCUACCUGUUGUACGGUAUUAUAUUGGCUUAUCUGAUUUCUUAUCGUCUGGUCUUAGAUACUUGUGAGCAUCGGAUGAAUAUUAAAGCUGUCUCUUUGAACCACACAGUUAAUGUGUGUCUUGAUGUAGUGGCUCAUUGAGCGUUGCAAGGUCCCUUACAUAUAGACCCUGAUUUGGGCAUGGAUCUUGUGUGAUCCUUGUCAUGUCCCUGCAAUAAGUAAUAUUUAUUGUCCCUAGUAUGACUGCUUGACACUUUGGCUUGUACCAGCGUGUUGGGUUUUGUCCAAGAGGAAAGUUACCUGGUUGAUCCUGCCAG
rnacentral:misc_RNA from 1 species